rnacentral:misc_RNA from 1 species
AACCAUAGAAACCUGCGGAGUACCUGCGGAAGGAUCAUUACUGAGUUAGGGUGCCCCAAAAGCGCCCGACCUCCCAACCCUUUGUCUACCUGACCUAUUGUUGCUUCGGCAGGCCCGCCGCCCUCCUCCGGGGGGGAUGGCCGCCGGGGGAGUCCCCCUCCCCGGGCCCGCGCCUGCCGACGGCCCCAACCACAAAACUCUUGUUUAACCGUGUCGUCUGAGUACCACAAACAAAAUAAA